AGCGAACGCUGGCGGCAGGCCUAACACAUGCAAGUCGAACGAAGUCUUCGGACUUAGUGGCGGACGGGUGAGUAACACGUGGGAACGUACCUUUUGGUUCGGAACAACUCAGGGAAACUUGAGCUAAUACCGGAUGAGCCCUUAGGUGGAAAGAUUUAUCGCCGAAAGAGCGGCCCGCGUUAGAUUAGCUAGUUGGUGAGGUAAAGGCUCACCAAGGCUACGAUCUAUAGCUGGUCUGAGAGGAUGAUCAGCCACACUGGGACUGAGACACGGCCCAGACUCCUACGGGAGGCAGCAGUGGGGAAUCUUGCGCAAUGGGCGAAGGCCUGACGCAGCCAUGCCGCGUGAAUGAUGAAGGUCUUAGGAUUGUAAAAUUCUUUUACCAGGGACGAUAAUGACGGUACCUGGAGAAAAAGCCCCGGCUAACUUCGUGCCAGCCGCCGCGGUAAUAC
rnacentral:rRNA from 1 species